CCCCUACACUCCUGCCACUGUUCACAAGCUCUGAGGCUUUCAAAUUCUGGUCUCUUUGGUUUCUUCAUCUAUGAAGUAGGCACAGCAACUUCUAACAGAAAUGUAGAAAAGCCUCAGUGGACUGCAUCUCUGUGGCUGCUUUUCAUUUACCAUCCUGUAAUGAAGCAUUUGGUCACUGUCACCGGAUGAUCUCUGAGAAGAUAAAAGCUGAAGCUGGGACCCAGAGUCAGUCCAUGGUCAUCUUUGACUAUUGGCAUGCUGUUGAACAACACAACAUUGGCAGGAGGGGUGAAGAAGUUUAGUGUUGGAGUUUUUAGAUGUGGAAUGUUAUCUGUGUAUACAUCUUCUGGAGGAUGAACCAUAUGUUUGGCAACAUUUCUGCUGUGAAGAUACCAGAGAAGUUCAUCUUUUCAUUGCACCUUUUUAGAUCUGCCAUGUUGAUUGAUUAAAAAUGGAUGUGCAGAGCAAAGCAUGGAGGAGAUUGCUUAUGAUGUUUUCAUUAUGUAGACAGAACCAUGAUGUUUUGCAAAGACCAUAUUUUAACAGAAUAAAUUCAUCGAACUUACAUUCAAACAAGAAAGUCAUCCGUUGUUAACUUAUACGAACGAAAUGUAGAAGCAAGAUUUGGAGGUAUAUGUUUGUAAAGUCAUUUUGCAAUGAAAUGUAAAGACAGAUGAUACAAUGCCUUUUAUAGGAUCAGGUUAAUGCUUAUUGUGCCUGAAGCUUCCCGACUUGACAGAGGAGAACUUGGAUUUAUCAAAUGUUAAACACAUGGCUUUAAUGGUUUGUAUUAGGAGAAUUCCUGAGGGAUUUGUGCUAGUUGUGAGGUUGUAUUCACUUCACUUUAUUUCUUUCCUGUGGCUCUCCUAUUUCCCUUUGGGAUGUGUUUCAUGUGUCUGUUAUUGCUUUGAAGAUUUUUCAUUUCUAUCUCAUGCUUAACACUUGCUGUUGAUUCUUUGUAUAACUUAGGAGAAAUGAACGAUAUUCUUCUCCUAGAGUAUCAGUGUUUAUAAGGUAAACGUGUCUGUGCUGAUUUAGAAAAGAACACAUAUUUUUCUCUCUUUUAUGCUAAGAAUAAGAUUUUAUUUUUUGGUGUUGAAAACUUUUUAGAAACUUAAUAUUUUGUGUUUUAUCUCCAGGAUUAUUCUUUACUUUGUGGAUUAAAGCAGAAGAGUAGAUAUUCUGUGAUUAUUUUGUUAAACAGCAACAUAUUCUAGAGAACUUUGAUUAAAAGGAUAACUUGAGACCACAAAAAGUCCCUCUUUACAAGACAAUUUUAAUCUCAGCUAUCUUUGCAUUUUUUUUUGUUUUAUUAUUUAAUGAUGAUAAAUAUGAUGGUUUUUCCAUGAAGAGAAAUAUAGACAUUGCUGUUAUAAGAAGUUAUUCUAGACAGCAUUUGGGACCCAUUCAUGAAUGUUUUUCUGGCAGUCAUCUCAAUAGAUCAUCUGUAUCUUUUGGUUUGUUGUGUCAGUUUAUAGAUGGCAAAAAUAGUGUAUUUUGAGCAUGACUUGAUCAGCAGUGAUAUAAGCAGUGGAGAAAAUAUAUUGGUGAAUGUGCUUACACAAUGAAUAACUGGAAAACACUCAGCCAGUAUUUCUGUGGGUGUAUCUGUUCUUUUUCUGUUUAUAUUAAACUUGAAUGAUUAAAUAGAAAGCAGGUUCAAAGAAAAAAGAAUAUUGUGGUUUGAGUACAUACAUUCAAACGUAUACUUCUUAUUUUCUUACAUUAAAUCUUUACACUUCACCAUCUGGCAGCGUUGUUCAUCCUCUUAUUUUCUUAACCCUUUCCCAGUUGGAACCACUACCAUGUAACUUUAUGGGUAUUAGAGUUCCUGCCAUGAUUCAAGCAGCCUUCAUCCCUUAAGUAGAAGGGAAGAAGAAUACAAGUCUCAAUUUCAUCAGAAUUAUUUUAAAAUUAUAAACAUAUUAUUGGGUAAAUAAACGCUUUAAGGAGGCUUGGCUGGAGAUUUUGGCAAGUCACCAGCAUGCGGAUUACAAUAGUGAUGAUUAUAAAAAAAAAAAAAAAAUCCUAGGCCAAUUCCUUGAUGUCCUGCUUCUGAUUCCUUUCCAAAACAAGUACAAUGAAUUUAUGGCAAUAUAGAAUCUAUCUGGAGCAAAUUUAGGCUUCUUUCUUUGGAGGAAGAAAAUCUGUAAGACUGGUUCUUUUUAAGACACAGUGACCCUGGUUAGUUCUGUUAGGAUAGAGAGGAAAGUCCUGCCCUCUGUUGUUUUAAGGUACUCUUGAGUAUUAUCUCCUGGCACCGCAAUUGACUGAAAUUGUUCACAGCUUCCAUUUCACUUGCAUGUGAUGUGAUACAAAGAACAAUUUAAGUUCAUCAUAAGGUUUGUAUCAUUAUAAUCACAUUUUCAUCUUUUUAAUAAUUUUUUGCCCAUUGUAAAAUGUAUUAUUUUGCCAUUUGGUCUAUCAGCCCUAGAUGAAUGGUGAGAAUAUGGGAUUUUCAAUUAACCAACAUUUCUCUAGUUUCCUCAACAAACCAGUAUAUAAAUAUGCCAUUUGCAUAGACUUCACUUAAUGAUCACUCUUCUCUAAAGAGCUUUGUUUAUAUCAUUUAUUCCUUCUCCUCUGUCCCAUCUUUUAACAUGGAGAGUCCCAGGGUUUAGUCUUUGUUCCUGGUUUCCUUCCCUUCUAAUUUCUUAUCUUUUUGCUGCUCUGUUUCAUCUUAAGUUUCUGUCUUGAAAAGGUAUGUAUGUGUGUAUGUGCAUGCAUCUCUCUGUCUAUAUGCAUAUAAUUCUGGAGUGUGUGUGUGUGUCUGUGUUUAUCUUAAAUUUACAAUUUUAGUCUAAAUAUCUUCCCUGAAUUGUAUAUAGAUUUAGAUAUCUAAUUACCUACAGCACUUCCAACUAUCUCAUAAGAGUUUUACACUUUCCAUGUCAGAAAUAAAACUUUAUGUCUCUUCUAUGUCCCACCUGAUCUUUCCUCCCCCAAUAGGCAGCCCCAUCUUAGGUAAUGAAAAUUCCAUUUUUCUGGGGGCAUCAGGCCAAACUCAUCCUCUGUAGCCCAUUUUUUCUUCAAAUUCUAUUGAAUUUACCUUUUAAAUAUAUUCAGAGUCCAGUUGUUUUCACCACCUUCACUCAGACAGAUCUCAUCUCAUUUUUGGCCUUGGUACUGAAGUAGCCUUCUCUUUGCUUUUUCCCUUGUCCCUCCAUACUUUCUUCCACCUCAGUGAACUUAUCAGCAAGAGUUAUCUUAUUAGUAUUGUUCUGAAACAUAGUUCAAAUUCCGGCACUUGUCUGUGUAGAAGUCCCCAUUUGACUCUUGGCUCACUUGGAGAAAAAACAAAGGUUUUGCCAUGACCUACAUAGUCAUGAAUGAUCUGUUUUCCCAUUGCUGCCUCCUCCUCCUCCUCCUCCUCCUCCUCCUCCUUCUUCUUCUAAUAAUAAUAAUAAUAAUAAUAAUAAUAAUAAUAAUAAUAAUAAUUUUAGUUGUAGAUAGACACAAUGCCUUUGUUUUAUUCAUUUAUUUUUGUGUGGUGCUGAGGACCGAACCCAGUGCCUCACACAUGCUAGGCAAAAGCUCUGCCACUGAGCCACAAUCCCAGACCUCCCAUUGCCUUCUUGACUAUAUGUCUUACUUCACUUUCCACUCCUUUGGCUUCAGAGUUCAUUGAUAUACUUAAAAAUUCCAGAGACUCUUUUACUUGGAUUUUCUCUUUGCCUGUAAUGAGCUAACAGGGAUAUGCAAUGGCUAACAAGGCCAUCAAUCAAAUAUUGCCUUCUAAUGGAGACUUUCCCUAAACAUACUUAGCAUGAUAUGAAAGUUGUAAGAUCCUAAUUUCCCUGGCAUACUUUAUCUCCUUCUUCUUUCUUUAUUUGACUCUACCUAGCAUUUGCCUUCAUCUAAAGACUCCAUUUUUCACUGAUCUUCCUCAAUCUCAGUUUCCUGAACUAAAAUGUAGAGAAUAUCAACUCUACCAAGGGCAGGGAAUUUUGAUUUUCUUUGUCUAAAAAAAAAAAAACAACACCUCUGUAUCUCCUGUAUUUAUAUAAUGCUUGGUACAUAGUAUGUGUUCAAUAAAUAUUCAUCAAAAUAAUAAAGUAAUAACUGCCAUAUUUUUUGUGCUUUUUCUUCAGCAAAUUGGAAAGAGAUAUAAAGUGCUAUGAAAGCAUCACCUGGCUAGGACUUGGAAUGACAUAAAUAUUUAUUAGAAAUAUGAUCAUAAAUAAAUUCCAUAAACAUGUUAAAUUUCAGUGAGAAUAAUUACAGAGCUUAAAUGAGAUAAUUUAUAUGAAAGUGCUUUCAACCAUUAAUGUUUUCCUAAUGCUAUUAGUGAUCCCCCUCUCUCUUGUGAAUAAAUUAACUUAAUCUUAUAAAUGGAUUAUUUUUAUCAGUACUACAUUAAACUCUCUAUAUUUGCUCUUUAUGUCACUUUCUCUUAAAUUUUCAUGUUUCCUUUUCCAGAUUAAUACAGACAUAUUUAUUGAUAUUUACCAGUGGUAUGCAUGUUAUAGCAACUACAGUGUAAUGGUGGAUACAUAUAUUUAAAGCAAUUUUCAAAAUUCAUUUGUAUAAAGUUACUUAAUUUCUAUUAUUUACCAUGAUUGAUUCUAGGUGCUCUACAAGUAUGAACUUAUUUACUACUUUUAAUAACCUAAUGAGGUCAGUAUUAUCUUUGUUUUGCUGAUGAGAAAAUUGAGAUAGAUUAAUUUGUUCAAGGCCCUAAUUUAUAUUACCUCUGUGUGCAUUCAUGUGUUUGUAUAUUUAAAAGUAAAAUAAUUUAAUGUUCAUAUGGUAGUCUUAAAAAUAAACAUUAUACCUACAUAUUAUAUAGAAGCAUGAUAAAACUAGAUUUUGAGAAUUUAAGUGUUGGCUAAUAUACACACACACACACACACACACACAUAUAUGGAUUGAACCAAGGUGUACUUUACCACUGAACUACACAACUCCAGUCCUUUUUAUUUUUAGUUUUGAGACAAGUUCUCAGUAAGUUCCUUAGUGCCUUGUCAAAUUUCCGAGGCUUGCCUCAAACUUGUGAUCCUCCUGCCUUAGUCUCUAGAGCUGCUGGAAUUAUAAGCAUGCACCACCAUACCCAGGUAUAAUUUUUAUUUAUUUUUUAUUUUUUGGUGGUGAUACAGGGGAUUCAAUCCAGUGGUGCUCUGCUACUGACCUACAUCAAACCCCUUUUCAAAAUUUUGAAACAAGUUCUGGCUAAGUUGCCCAGGCUACCAUGAACUUAUGAUUCUCUUUCUUCAUCCUCACAGGUUUCUAGGAUUACACACAUGUACCAUAGCAUCUGGCUGUCAGAUUUUUAUUUAUUUAUAUGUGUAUUU